CCAUCUAUUUAUUUUAUUUAUUAAAAUGAUGUUUAUAAUUAUAAGAUAAGGGGUACCAACAACUCCCCCACACUUGGUCCAUUGCUUGUCCUCAAGUGAAGGCACUAAAGACCAAAUGGGUUCAUCUUCCUUGUCAAAAGAAUCUACAUACAGGUUAUUCCCAGCUUCACUUGGAUUUAUGAACUUCAAAGUGUCUACCAAGCUAUCUUGGGUAAUUGAAACGUGGAACAGCCUGGAUUCAAAUCCUCUUACAUAGUCUCUACGAAAAAACUUGGGGUUUUUGCAAGACUUUGAAAAAUAAAGAUAGCAUAUGUUUCUUGAAUGAUGCUCUCAAGUCCCUCCUAAUAUGUGAGUGGUUCCUUACCAAGGCAUAAAGAGUUGAUACCUUCUUUUUGAUCAUCCUACUUCUAAAAGGCUUAUCUAGAGUUUUGGGUAGGUAUGAUGGUGGAAGUUACUUACCCUACAUAUGUUGUCGAGUCAAACCCAGGACCAUAUCGGAGGGAGUGCGCCACACCCUUAGAUCAGAAUGUGCAAGUGUGUGGAAUUUUUGGUGUAAUCCUAUCACUACUUUUAUUGCAACAUUCCUUGCAUCAAGACCCUCUUUUGAAAUGAGAUGAAAAACUUGAGAGGAUAUGGGCUAUAACACAAAUUUUAUUUUAUUAUUUUUUUAUUAUUUUUUUGGACGGGUAUGAAUCUUUCCCCGUUUUGCCCCUUUGGAUUUUUCUCAUAAUAUUUUUUUCUUAUAUAUAUAUAUAUAGCCCAUUCCUAUGAUUCGGAUGAAAACGAAAGAGAGCUUUAUGAUAACAAAUGCAAGGAAUGUAUAUGAAUGCACAAUUCUCAGGGUGAGAUAUUGGCAUUUUUAUUUGGUAAAUAUAUGUGCGCAACCCUGAGUGUAAGAGUUGGCGAAAUUUUGGGUGGAUGGAGAAAGCAUGUUGUGCGCGACUUCUCAGUGUGAGAGUCGGCUUUUAUAUGGUGGGUGCAAGUGAAUUCUGAUCUUAGAGGCAUGAAACAUCUCUCGAUAGCGGUCCAAAAAUUUGACCAAACUCAACACAGAGCAAGCAGCAUAUGUAGAAGGUUUAAUCAUGAACAAAUAUUUGGCCAUGGUAGGAAUAAAGCUUGAUCAUUCAAUAAACUUGCUAUUGAAUUUUGCUUUUUAUAAAAGAAAACCCAGGUACUAUGCAAGAACCGGCAAGCAUCAUGUCAUCCUACUAUAUCACAUACGUCAAUUACUUAGAUAAAAUGGGGUCCCUAUAACAAGUGUUCAUAAAUCUCUAGGGAUAUUAGCUAAGAAUAAAAAGUAUGCAAAAACAUAUUUGAACAUAGGAGACAUGUUCGAUGGAGUACGAAGGUAACAUCAUUUUAAACAUUUCAUUUGAAAAUCUUUUUGGGGGAAGAGGGUUUGCACAAACCGAGAUUUUUGAUUGAAUAGUCUUUCCCCCACACAUGUUUUCUUUCCUGUCAUGGUUAGUCCCAAUAUAUAUAGAAAACAAGUGCACAAUAUAAACAAACUUUUUUUAUUGAUAACUUUGAAUAGGCACAUUACAUUGGAAGAGAAAAAAUAUUUGAAACAUAAAUAUUGUGAAAAGGAAAAAUGUGCCUAAACAAAGAUUCAUGCAUGAGGUGUGGUCUAAAGAUCUUCAACAAGACGACCAACACCUAAGGCUUCAGCGACCUUUCUAAGUUCAGUAUUAAACUUGAAGCAAAACCUAUUAACAUCAUCACUAAGGUUCCUAAUCUCAGUGUUCUUUUCCUCUAGGUCGUCUUCUAAACCCCGUAACUCAGCAUGUAGGCUAGUCUGCUUAGCUAAAAGCUCGGCUAUGAUAUUGGGAUCAUCUUCUUCAUCGCUGCUCUCGUACUGUCCUACACGACGCUUGAUUGACGGUUGUGGCAAGUGCCUCCUGAUCCUAGCAACAGUACUAGACGAUUCCGUGUUCUUGGCCUUGCCACCCAUCUUGCUACCAGCAUGAUUGCCUUGCCUAUCACCACUAGGGGCUUUUCUCUUAAGUCAUAUGUUGCUAGUAGAUGAACGGGCAGUAGCGGGUAUGUUGGCGGCGCUAUUGGUGGGCGCUUUGUGGUUUGCUGGUAACAAUACUAACGGCUUUCUCUUCUCAACAUGGACCUCCUUGCUAGAACUCUCUUAGUAAGGUGCUAUGUCUAGAUUGCCUAUGGUCUUGGGAGCAUUUGAUCAGCGAGAGGGCAUAGCUAGACAUGGUCACUACUGAAGAAUGGGAGAGCUUAGCAAUCUUCACAAGAAGGAGAUGAGAAAUGGUUGGUGUGAGAAGAGAAGAGGCCU
rnacentral:lncRNA from 1 species